GUGGUAAUGCCGGAUGCUCCAUCACACCGCAUGGUGUGUUGGGAAAGCCUUUGCGGCAUGGGAUGGGGUCGCGUCCUAUCAGCUUGAUGGCGGGGUAACGGCCCACCAUGGCUUCGACGGGUAGCCGGCCUGAGAGGGCGACCGGCCACAUUGGGACUGAGAUACGGCCCAGACUCCUACGGGAGGCAGCAGUGGGGAAUAUUGCACAAUGGGCGCAAGCCUGAUGCAGCGACGCCGCGUGAGGGAUGGAGGCCUUCGGGUUGUAAACCUCUUUUGUUAGGGAGCAAGGCAUUUUUGUGUUGAGUGUACCUUUCGAAUAAGCACCGGCUAACUACGUGCCAGCAGCCGCGGUAAUACGUAGGGUGCAAGCGUUAUCCGGAAUUAUUGGGCGUAAAGGGCUCGUAGGCGGUUCGUCGCGUCCGGUGUGAAAGUCCAUCGCUUAACGGUGGAUCCGCGCCGGGUACGGGCGGGCUUGAGUGCGGUAGGGGAGACUGGAAUUCCCGGUGUAACGGUGGAAUGUGUAGAUAUCGG
rnacentral:rRNA from 1 species